AGCGCAGACGGUUGAUUAAGUCUGAUGUGAAAGCCCGGAACUCAACUCCGGAAUUGCAUUGGAAACUGGUUAACUUGAGUGCAGUAGAGGUAAGUGGAACUCCAUGUGUAGCGGUGGAAUGCGUAGAUAUAUGGAAGAACACCAGUGGCGAAGGCGGCUUACUGGACUGUAACUGACGUUGAGGCUCGAAAGUGUGGGUAGCAAACA
rnacentral:rRNA from 1 species